CCACCUGCCUGUCUCAAUGGAAAGAAUAUGUGGAUUUGGAUUCAGGGACACGUUUAUCACCUAUGUGACUUUAGGAGUCAAUGAAGCAAGUUCAUGAGACUCGGAGGCAAUGACACCAAACCAGGGGUUUUAGCUCCUACCCAUGGUACUGGCUAAUAUAUCUGACCACACUGGCUCUGUAAGACCAUGGCUGAAGACUGCUUAAAUGUUGUCCCUGAGUCAAUAUCUUAACAUUUAUUGCAUCUUUUAUUUUCUUAACAAAAAUGAAGGCGUUUGUGACUGUGUUGUUUUCCAUCAAAAAUUGGGAAUCAUGCCCUUUCAUACAACACAGUUGUGACACAAUUUGUUGAAGUGAAAGAACACUGGAACAGAAACAAGAAUACCUGAGAUGGAGACUCACCUCUUACCAUCAAUCUAGUGUUGACUUUGGGUGCAUCUUUUCUCCUG
rnacentral:lncRNA from 1 species